rnacentral:lncRNA from 1 species
UAAUCUUCACACAACCCAUGUAAUACAUAAGGGAAAGAGUUUACAUAGUUGGCUUACACUCGCCACUUCACACAAUUACAUAAAUAAACAUUACAUCAAUCAAAUACACUCAUGGUCCGACUACGGAACCAAAAUAAAAGAAGAACCCCAAAUGCGACAAAGGUCCCAAUCACCCCCAACUGGGCUCCACUACUGAUCAACUAGAAUGAAACAACACAAAGGACAAGAUCUUCAUCGAGCUCCUCCUGAGCUUGGUUGCGUCAUCUGAACAAACUCAUCGGCACCUGCAAGCUGGUUUUGGAAGUAUCUGUGAGCCACGGGGACUCAGCAAUCUCGCACCCUCGCGAUCAAGACUAUUUAAGCUCAUAGGUAAGGCAAGAUAUGAGGUGGAGCUGCAGCAAGCGACUAGCAUAGAUGGUGGAUAAACAUACGCAAAUGAGAGCGAGAAGAGUAGGCAAAGCACGGUUGAUAAAAGUAUGAUCAAGAAGUGAUCCUAGACUACCUACGUCAAGCAUAACUCCAACAACCGUGUUCACUUCCCGGACUCCACCGGAAAGAGACCAUCACGGUUAUACACGCAUUUGAUUCAUUUUAAUUAAGUUAAGGUUCAAGUUAUCUACAACCAGACAUUAACAAAUUCCCAUCUGCCCAUAACCGCGGGCACGGCUUUCGAAAGUUCAAAUCCCUGCAGGGGUGUCCCAACUUAGCCCAUCACAAGCUCUCACGGUCAAUGAAGGAAUAGACCUCCACCCGAGACGUUCCAAUCAGACUUGGUAUCCCGGUACAACAAGACAUUUCGACAGGGUAAAACUAAACCAGCAACACCGCCCGAAUGUGCCGACAAAUCCCGAUAGGAGCUGCACAUAUCUCUUUCUCAGGGCACACUCAGAUGAGACUAGCUACGAGUAAAACCAACCCUCAAGUUUCCCCGAGGUGGCCCCGCAGGCAGCUCUGUUCGGACCAACACUCAGAGGAGCACUGGCCCCGGGGGGGGGGGGGUUAAAAUAAUGAUGACCCUUGGGCGCGCGACCCCCAAGGGAAAAGAAAAGGCUAGGUGGCAAAUGGUAAAACCAAUGUUGGGCAUUGCUGGAAAAUCUUUACUUAAGGCGAACUGUCAAGGGGUUCCCAUUAUAGCCCAACCGCUUGUGGAACGCAAAAUCCAGGAACAUAACACCGAUAUGACGGAAACUAGGGUGGCAAGAGUGGAACAAAACACCAGGCAUAAGGCCGAGCCUUCCACCCUUUACCAAGUAUAUAGAUGCAUUAAUUAAAUCAGAUAUAUAGUGAUAUCCCAACAAGUAAACAAUAUUCCAACAAGGAACAACAUCUCCAUGUUCCAACAAGGAACAAACUUCAAUCUUCACCUGCAACUAACAACGCUAUAAGAGGGGCUGAGCAAAGCGGUAACAUAGCCAAUCAACGGUUUCCUAGGACAUGGUGGGUUAGAGGUUUGACAUGGCAAUUGGGAUGCUGACAAGCAAAUGGUAGGCAUCGAAGCAUUGGCAUAGCAAAGAGCGAGCAAACUAGCAUAGCAAAGAUAGUAGUGAUUUCGAGGGUAUGAUCAUCUUGCCUGAGAUCCCGCAAGGAAGAAGAACGAGUCCAUGAAGAAGACAAACGGAACGUAGACGAACGAACCCUCACAACAUGACGUUAUCGGAACCAACCCAAAGAAGCACACCGGAAAGAAGCAGACAACAUAGUAAACAACCACGACAUAAUCAUGGCAUGAUGCGCAAACAAG